rnacentral:rRNA from 1 species
UACGUAGGGGGCUAGCGUUGUCCGGAAUCAUUGGGCGUAAGAGCGUGUAGGCGGUCCGGUAAGUCCGCUGUGAAAGUCGGGGGCUCAAUCCUCGAAUGCCGGUGGAUACUGUCGGGCUAGAGUGCGGAAGAGGCGAGUGGAAUUCCUGGUGUAGCGGUGAAAUGCGCAGAUAUCGGGAGGACAUCAGUGGCGAAGGCGGCUACCUGGCCCAAUACUGACACUCAGGUGCGAC